rnacentral:lncRNA from 1 species
CUUGCUUUUAUUUGGUUGUUGCUAGGUGACCACGAAUCUAUAGUUAAAUACAAAGAGCGUUCAAUCCUGAGAGAAAAAGAGAGGCAAUUAGGAAAAUGGCGAAACUGAGACGUCUUUAAAUAUGUUAUUUAGGAGGGGAGGGCGGCGGGGAGAGCGCUGUUUUGACCCAGUGACCGUUCGGAGGGAAAUAACAUAAACAUCUCAAAACAAAGCGCGAGAGUCUGGUGUAAUGGCACGCACGCUGUGCCGCUGAUUAGCGGCUCCCUGUUGCUCAGCAACCGCAGACUAGACUGCUCCAAGGUGACAUGCCACUUAGCGCCUUACCAACCCGCCACCGCCGAACGCCGGGCAGCGCUUCCGGCGGCCACCAGGGGGCGGCAGCCCGCCACCGGCCACUCCGCCACACGGCGCCCGCAGCCUAUGGCGCCCGCCCGGUGCUCCUUUAUGCGGUUGCUAUAUAGCUACAGGACCCCCAUAAGGAGGAGGGCUGGAAGAUAACUACAGUAGAUAGAGCAGAAGGCUUGGCUGAUAUUGGCUGAUGGACAGACACUCUGCUGAGGGAAAAGAAGAAGAGAGAAGAGGAGGAGAUGAAGGAGAAAGGUGUGGAACAGAAGACAGGGCUGCGGAGGGUAGGCUAACAGAAGCUGGGAUUAAACGAGCGACUAAAUCACCACACAGAUAAUCUCCAUCUGCUCCUCCACCACACACAGGAGAGGGGGGGAGGUGGGAGUUAGCAUGAAUGCUAAGAAACUAUAAACUGACAGGAAUAACACCUCUCAAUUUAUUUUUUCUUAAUAUACAUAAAUUAUUUAUUUUAAAAAAUCUAUUUAAUUCUGUACCAAGCACAUUAGGUAUGAUUGAACAUUCUAGGGAAAAGAAAGAAAGGUCUCAUCUUUGAAGCAUCAAAAUAACGUUAGCCAUUGUUGAUCAGGGAUGUUCGAGGACUUCCUUCCAGAAGCACUCACUUUAGAGAAAAACAAAACUGUAAAUAAGCUUCAUUUUGAGCUUCAUUUUUUGCUGGUGUUGCUGGAACUGUUGUAUCAGAAAAUAAGUUUCCUUAAAUAUAUUCACUAGGUAGCAUUCUACAGUGCUACAAAAGCAAAACGUAUUUUUUCCAACAAUAAAUAAAAGCAUAAGUUACCA